rnacentral:misc_RNA from 1 species
AAGUCGUAACAAGGUUUCCGUAGGUGAACCUGCGGAAGGAUCAUUAAAAAAGAGAAACGUCCCGUUUUUUUCAUAAGAAUGGGUUCUAUUCCCUUAAACCGUGUCUACAUACCUUUGUUGCUUUGGCAGGCCGCCUUCGGGCGUCGGCUCCGGCUGAUAGUGCCUGCCAGAGGACCCAAACUCUAUGUUUAGUGAUGUCUGAGUACUAUAUAAUAUUUAAAA